AGAAAUCUACAGUGAACCGAGUUA
rnacentral:siRNA from 1 species